AUUGAACGCUGGCGGCAGGCCUAACACAUGCAAGUCGAGCGAGCGGCGGACGGGUGAGUAAUGUCUGGGAAACUGCCUGAUGGAGGGGGAUAACUACUGGAAACGGUAGCUAAUACCGCAUACCAUCAGAUGUGCCCAGAUGGGCUUAGCUAGUAGGUGGGGUAAUGGCUCACCUAGGCGACGAUCCCUAGCUGGUCUGAGAGGAUGACCAGCCACACUGGAAAGUGGACACGGCCCAGACUCCGACGGGAGGCAGCAGUGGGGAAGAGUGCACAAUGGGCGCAAGCCUGAUGAAGCCAAGCCGCGUGUGUGAAGAAGGCCUUCGGGUUGUAAAGCACGUUCAGCGGGGAGGCGUUACCCGCAGAAGAAGCACCGGCUAACUCCGUGCCAGCAGCCGCGGUAAUUC
rnacentral:rRNA from 1 species